rnacentral:lncRNA from 1 species
AUGCUCUUACAUGCAAAGAGUGCCGAGGAACGAAGAGACCAGAAGGAAAACAAAACCAAGCCAAACGAACUCACGGGUCCACAAGGAUACGCUGGCUGCAGUACACACCUUGAAACUUUGUGGGUGUCUCAGUUGUGCCACAGCAGUUUGAGCAGGCAGUGCUUAGCCAGGACUCCUGGGCCAGCCUUUUCAGGGGCCACAGUGAAACACGGAAUCAUCUCGGGGAUGCUGUUCGGCCCCAGAUUUUGAAAAGAGCCUGAAAGUUGCAACAAAACAUACUGCCUGCAAUACCUCCAUGUGCUGCUGGAGUACACCUCAGCUCUCUGCUUGUCUCCCUGGAUUCUCACCAUCCUGCACCUACAGGAGUAGCCAAACAUUGCACAUUGCUGCAAGCCUGUCCAAACCAGGGGGGGCCACCCCGCUCUGAUGGGGUGUGAAAGCAUCCAUUGCUUGAAAAUCUCAAGCUGAAGCCCUAGAUUUUGAAGGUUAAAUUUUAGAGGGUGUGCAUCCUUCAUUCCUAAAUCUUCUUUCCUGCCCUGGAGGACACAGUGGAUGGAAGCUAGUUACUAAGUCUUGUUUUCUUUCCAAACAAAUCCUGGAGCUUUAAGCACACUUUUUAUUUGUCAUAUUACUUUAAAGAGUAAGAUGAAAGGGGCUGUCUUUAUGUUCCCUGUAUAUCUUAUAGCAAUUUGCCUACCCCAGGCAGGAAUGCUCGUGUUUAUAUCCUCUAUAUUUCACAUAGUACUCACUCUGUGGCCAGAGGGUCUAUGUAUUAUUGUUAUUUUUGGUUCAGCUUUCAGGGCUUGCAUAUUGCAAACAUCUUUUUUCUUUGUAAAAAGGAGACAGUAAAAAACUUUGCAUUUGACAAUGUCUAUGUCUCUCGACUCAGUGCACUUUUGGAAAGCCAUCUCCUCUGGUAUUCACACUAUAUCAUCCUCCACCACAAGACAAUUUAAAAUAAGAUAUUCCCAGUCCUGCCAGCUUUCUCUAAACAAAGCCUGUGAGUCAAGAAU